rnacentral:misc_RNA from 1 species
GUGAGUCAUCGAAUCUUUGAACGCACAUUGCGCCCCGUGGUAUUCCGCGGGGCAUACCUGUUCGAGCGUCAUUAUGACCAAUCCCGCCUGCGGGGUCUUGGGCACCGCCUCUGGGCGGGCCUCAAAUUCAGUGGCGGCACGGCCAGGCUCUCAGCGUAGUACGUCUUCUCGCUCGAGAGCUCUGGGUGGCGCUGGCCAGCAACCCUCAAUCUUUCACCGGUUGACCUCGAAUCAGGUAGGGAUACCCGCUGAACUUAAGCAUAUCAAUAAGCGGAGGA